rnacentral:rRNA from 1 species
GCAACGAGCGCAACCCUCGACCUUAGUUGCCAGCAUUCAGUUGGGCACUCUAAGGUGACUGCCGGCUAAAAGUCGGAGGAAGGUGGGGAUGACGUCAAAUCAUCAUGCCCCUUAUGACCUGGGCUACACACGUGCUACAAUGGUUGGUACAACGAGUUGCGAGUCGGUGACGGCGAGCUAAUCUCUUAAAGCCAAUCUCAGUUCGGAUUGUAGGCUGCAACUCGCCUACAUGAAGUCGGAAUCGCUAGUAAUCGCGGAUCAGCACGCCGCGGUGAAUACGUUCCCGGGCCUU